CCCGGGUCUUGUACACACCGCCCGUCACACCAUGGGAGCGGGUUCUGCCAGAAGUAGUUAGCCUAACCGCAAGGAGGGCGAUUACCACGGCAGGGUUCGUGACUGGGGUU
rnacentral:rRNA from 1 species